GAGGUGGAGGAGGAAGAAGUGACCAGACACCAUGGAGUGAGGCAGGCUUAAGCAUUAGGGAGGAGGAUGACCACCUCUUUUGGGGAAGAUUUAAAACCUGGUCUAUCAUCCGUUGUGUUUCACAGAUUUCCCUAAAGGAGGAAAGAACAGGACUGUAGAUUUAGAACCCAGGAAAGUACUUUCAUAAUGCCAAGGAUCUGAACUCUUCAUUUGAAAAACAAGCUUGCCCACUCAGCAGCCAUAGGCAGCAUCUGUCAGCUACAAUCUAGGCUAAUUUGCAAAAUGAGCCUUGAAAGGAAGGUCUUGGUCUUGCUAGAAUCCCAUGAAGCAGGUUGAUGAAGCAGGCACUGUUCUAGGUGCUGGAGCUGCAAUGCAUCAAGGAAACAUACAGUUCCAGCCUUCAUAGCAUAUAUGUUCAAGUGGAGGAAACAGACAAUACAAGAAACAGACAAAACAAGUGAACAAAUAAAUACUCAAGCAAAAGAUGCUGCAAUUGAAGGUACAAGCAGGUGUUGAGAAAACAUGAAGGAAGGAAUCCAAUCAAAGAGCACAAAGAAAAUUCCAUAGAGGACAUAGCAACUAAGAACGAAUAAGAUGAAUAUAUGUGAUUAUGUCUAUUUGUGCAUAUGUGUGUAUACAUACAUAUACAUAUAUAUGCAUAUAUUUACAUAUAUGCAUAUAUAUUUACAUACAUGUAUAUAUUUACAUAUAUGCAUAUAUAUUUACAUAUAUAAGUAUAUAUUUACAAAUAUAUAUGCAUAUAUAUUUACAAAUAUAUAUGCGCAUAUAUAUAUUUACAAAUAUAUAUGUGCAUAUAUAUAUUUACAUAUAUAUGCACAUAUAUAUGAGAAGACUUCACCCAUAAAUGCAUCAUGCUAAUACAACCAGAAUGAGCAUUAUGCUUCAUUUCUAUGAACAGCCUUCAAUAGGAACAAGAAAGAGAAGGAAUUCUAGACAAAAGCAUAAACAGAAUUCCAGAAUGGAAAAGUCCCAGCAAGGGAAAGUCCAAGGCACAUUUGGAGAACACCAAAUAGUUGGGUGUGCCUAGAAUGGGAAAUGGUGGAGAAUAAUGCUGGGGCAAAAUGUAGGACCCAGAAUGUAAAAUAAAUUGAAUGUCAUGCU